rnacentral:rRNA from 1 species
GAUGAACGCUGGCGGCGUGCCUAAUACAUGCAAGUCGAGCGAACAGACGAGGAGCUUGCUCCUCUGACGUUAGCGGCGGACGGGUGAGUAACACGUGGAUAACCUACCUAUAAGACUGGGAUAACUUCGGGAAACCGGAGCUAAUACCGGAUAAUAUAUUGAACCGCAUGGUUCAAUAGUGAAAGACGGUUUUGCUGUCACUUAUAGAUGGAUCCGCGCCGCAUUAGCUAGUUGGUAAGGUAACGGCUUACCAAGGCAACGAUGCGUAGCCGACCUGAGAGGGUGAUCGGCCACACUGGAACUGGGACACGGUCCAGACUCCUACGGGAGGCAGCAGUAGGGAAUCUUCCGCAAUGGGCGAAAGCCUGACGGAGCAACGCCGCGUGAGUGAUGAAGGUCUUCGGAUCGUAAAACUCUGUUAUGAGGGAAGAACAAAUGUGUAAGUAACUAUGCACGUCUUGACGGUACCUAAUCAGAAAGCCACGGCUAACUACGUG